rnacentral:rRNA from 1 species
UACGUAGGUGGCAAGCGUUGUCCGGAUUUACUGGGCGUAAAGCGUAUGCAGGCGGACCGUUAAGUAGGAAGUGAAAGGUUGGAGCUCAACUCUAACACUGCUCCCUAUACUGGCGGUCUUGAGUGGCGGAGAGGAAGAUGGAACGACACGUGUAGCGGUGAAAUGCGUUGAUAUGUGUCGGAACACCAACGGCGAAAGCAAUCUUCUGGACGCAAACUGACGCUGAGAUACGAAAGCCAAGGUAGCAAACAGG